ensembl:lncRNA novel transcript
GCAUUGCCAAGGGCAAGAAGCUGAGAACAUGGAGAGAGAGAAGUUUCAGCAGAAGGCUCUGAAGCAAACUAAGCAGAAGAAAUCCAAGUCGGCUGAAUUUCUGAUGGUUAAAGAAGAUAGAGAAGCUACAGAAGGCACUGGAAAUCCAGCUUUUAACAUGAGCAGUCCAGAUCUCUCAGCAUGUCAGACUGCAGAAAAGAAAGUUAUUAGACACGACAUGCCGGAUCGCACCCUUGCAGCUCACCAACAAAAAUUCAGGCUGCCAGCCUCUGCAGAACCAAAAGGAAAUGAAUACGGCAGAAAUUACUUUGACCCACUGAUGGAUGAGGAAAUAAACCCAAGGCAGUGUGCGACGGAGGUCAGCAGAGAAGAUGAGAGUGGCCGGGAGGAGACUCUGAAUUCUGAAGCACCUGGGAGUUCCAAUAAGAGUCACGAAAUCCACAAAGAAGCCAGCGAAGCCACCACUGCUCACCUUGAGGAGUUCCAAAGAUCUCAGAAAACUAUAAUUCUGCUUGGAAGUUCUCCAUUAGAACAGGAUUUGAAAUUCGAAGGGGAAGGCCUCAACGAAUACAUUCCUAUGUCACUUUUAAAGACUGGUAAAACAUUUGAGAAAACUCCAAGUCAACCAUUCAUUGCAGACCUAAAUAUUUGUAAAAAGGACAGUGCAGCCCAGCUUGGUACCCUCACAGAAGUAACUAAUGACUCAAAGGGAGCAGCAGGACCCCGCUGGAAGUUCCUGCGUAAUUCAAGAACCCCACCUUUUGUGGAAAAUGAGCAGUCUCAACCACCUCAGCCUCUGCAAAUCCAGAUCAGAUGCCUGAGGGGCCUUAAAGACAAGGCUCCUCCAGGCUCUUAUGUCCUCAAAGUGUCCAAGUGUCCCUGCUUGGUCGACUGGGAGGCUGUGUCUUGCAGUGGUGGCAAACGGAGCAACUAAAGACCAGAAAACACUCCGUCAGGCACAAUGGAAACUUUUAUGAUGUGGGGGUGUAUUUCCACGAAAACCUUUAUGUGGUGCUCCCUCAAAGGAAAAAUGUGAGCCCUGGCAUGGUUUCUUGUUUGAACUCUUUCUUCUUCGUGGAACAUACACUUGCCUGGACCGGGCUGUGGGCUGAGCAGUGUUCCCUUUGUGUAAUAACAACUUUGAUACAGUGGAGGGAAAAUUUAAGUGUCCCCUUCUAUGAGGACAUUAUGACCAGAAACUCAGUAACUUUAGGAAAAUUGAAGAUUUGAUUUGCCUGGACUUGGACCACUGGCUGUGCAAUCUCUAUUUUCAGGUCAUUAAACUUCCUUUGCAUUUUGAUGGUCAAAAAAAUCAUGAAAGCUAUACUCGACUUUCCCCUGAAUUUCCAGUUUGUCUAAUGGCUAAAGGAGAGAAAGCAGAAUCAGGAGUGGAUAAUACAGCUGGCCUUUCAGAGAAGGAAACACAGAAGAAUCCUCGUGCACCAAUGGAUGAGGCAGACGUUAAAUCCGCAGCACACUCUUCUCAGGGGAGCAUUCCUAAAAAAAUCGGUCCCUGUUCUAUGGACUAUGAUCCCAAUCUCUUAGAAGAAGACGAUGAACUACACUCUCAGGGAGAUAGCCUGACGGAUCAUUCUGUGAAAGGAAAAUCAACUGUUUGGAGAAUUGGAGAAGCUGAAGAUUAUUCACAGGACAUAUCUUACUUGGAGGAACUGGAGGAACACCGAUUUUCUGUUUGCUGUUCUUCAGUUGCUGAUAGUAGAUAUGGAGACUUCUUCAAGCAUCUCCAUUUUGUGCUGGUAUCAGCGUCUUCAGAACUUCAGUUAUCUCAAUGGCAAAGCCAGGGCUUCUGGUACAUUAUACUGCUGAUGUUUUUUCUCUGGUUCCUGAGGCUCUACCUGCAUUACUUGGGCCAGUGGCUUUUCCUCCAGGCCAUUUCAACUCCUGUUACAAAAUUCCAUUUUUCUCUUCACAUCGUUGAGCUUUGCUACCCAACUUCCUCACUUCACAUUGGAGAAGAGCUUCCCGUGGUUGUGAUGGGGCCUUUAAUGCUGAAUGCAAUCCUGCUUCUUUUGGUUUUGAUCAGAUGGGGCUGUCAGCUACUCUUUGCCUCCUGUCCUGAUGUCUUGUCAAAGUUAAUCAUUACCAUGGGACUAUGGACAAUUCUGGACCCAUUGGCAGUGUUUAUACUGGAUACUCUCCUGGGGCGGCUUACAGAUAAUGAGGAGACUCCUGUGGCGGAUGCCGCGAAGCUCUACUGGAUGUUUGUAAGAACCGUGCAGCCAGGCAUUCUUGGCGUGGUGAUCACAGUGCUGCUUUACAUCCUCCUGUUCGUCAUUUCUUCUUUGAUUUUAUAUUUAUAUUGUCUUAGGUUGCACAAUGACUCUUGGAUAUUAGAUGCUUUUCAGCGCAUCCACAGUGAAGAAACCAAGUUCUUCAUACCGUAUGACUUGGAGAUUUCCAAUCAGGAGCUAAGUUAUAUAGUGAAAUGAUCUGAGCAGUGGAGAGGAAUCAAUGGUGAAAGAAGAAAGGUGGCAGUGUAUGAUUACAUCUGGAAAAGCCAUGGCAUUAAGUCCAGUGUCUGCAGCUGUGACCUCCAACAUCAAAAUGAAAUUUCUGUGUCUGCACUUGGUCCAGGAGAUAUUACUUCUCAUGUAUCUGUAUAUACCAUUUAUCCCAGUGGGUUGCAAGAGCUGUACCGCCAUUUUCUGAGACUCCCCGGUGGGCCAUUGUUGAGGUGUUUGGUGAUAUCAGUGGCUUAAAGCUUGUCCACAGUGAAGUGAUCACAGCUAUUCAGGAGCAUAUAAGCAAAACGGACAGCAUCCUGGGAGGCUCGUUUGACAUUUAAUUGAGAGACAUGAAAAGAACCCGUUAAAAUAAAAAGGAAAUUGGUGGCCCCAGUGGAAGGAUGAGUAAAGA